rnacentral:rRNA from 1 species
GAUGAACGCUAGCGGGAGGCUUAACACAUGCAAGUCGAGGGGCAUCACGAGGUAGCAAUACUUUGGUGGCGACCGGCGCACGGGUGAGUAACGCGUAUGCAACCUACCCUGUACAGGGGGAUAGCCCGGAGAAAUUCGGAUUAAUACCCCAUAAUGAUAUUUUAUGGCAUCAUAAAAUAUUUAAAGCUCAGGCGGUACGGGAUGGGCAUGCGUAACAUUAGCUAGAUGGUAGGGUAAUGGCCUACCAAGGCGACGAUGUUUAGGGGUCCUGAGAGGGUGAUCCCCCACACUGGUACUGAGACACGGACCAGACUCCUACGGGAGGCAGCAGUGAGGAAUAUUGGUCAAUGGGCGCGAGCCUGAACCAGCCAUCCCGCGUGAAGGAAGACUGCCCUAUGGGUUGUAAACUUCUUUUCCAGGGGAAUAAAAUCUCGAACGAGUUCGGGACUGAAGGUACCCUGGGAAUAAGCAUCGGCUAACUCCGUGCCAGCCGCCGCAGUAAUAC